rnacentral:rRNA from 1 species
GACGAACGCUGGCGGCGUGCUUAACACAUGCAAGUCGAACGGAAAGGCCCUGCUUUUUUGGGGUGCUCGAGUGGCGAACGGGUGCGUAACACGUGAGUAACCUGCCCUUGACUUUGGGAUAACUUCAGGAAACUGGGGCUAAUACCGGAUAGGAGCUCCUGCUGCAUGGUGGGGGUUGGAAAGUUUCGGCGGUUGGGGAUGGACUCGCGGCUUAUCAGCUUGUUGGUGGGGUAGUGGCUUACCAAGGCUUUGACGGGUAGCCGGCCUGAGAGGGUGACCGGCCACAUUGGGACUGAGAUGCGGCCCAGACGCCUACGGGAGGCAGCGGUGGGGAAUAUUGCACACUGGGCGGAGGCCUGAUGCAGCAACGCCGCGUGCGGGAUGACGGCCUUCGGGUGGUAAACCGCUUUCGCCUGUGACGAAGCGUGAGUGACGGUAAUGGGUAAAGAAGCACCGGCUAACUACGU